GAUGAACGCUAGCGGCAGGCCUAACACAUGCAAGUCGAGGGGUAGAAGGAGCUUGCUCCUUUGAGACCGGCGCACGGGUGCGUAACGCGUAUGCAAUCUACCUUGUACAGGGGAAUAGCCCAGAGAAAUUUGGAUUAAUGCCCCAUAGUAUAUAACCUUCGCAUGUUGGUUAUCUUAAAGUUCCAACGGUACAAGAUGAGCAUGCGUCCCAUUAGUUAGUUGGUAAGGUAACGGCUUACCAAGACGAUGAUGGGUAGGGGUCCUGAGAGGGAGAUCCCCCACACUGGUACUGAGACACGGACCAGACUCCUACGGGAGGCAGCAGUGAGGAAUAUUGGUCAAUGGUCGCAAGACUGAACCAGCCAUGCCGCGUGCAGGAAGACGGUCCUAUGGAUUGUAAACUGCUUUUAUACAGGAAGAAACCCUCCCACGUGUGGGAGCUUGACGGUACUGUAGGAAUAAGGAUCGGCUAACUCCGUG
rnacentral:rRNA from 1 species